rnacentral:rRNA from 1 species
CCUACGGGAGGCAGCAGUGGGGAAUAUUGGGCAAUGGGCGCAAGCCUGACCCAGCAACGCCGCGUGAAGGAAGAAGGCUCUCGGGUUGUAAACUUCUUUUAUCAGGGACGAAGCAAGUGACGGUACCUGAUGAAUAAGCCACGGCUAACUACGUGCCAGCAGCCGCGGUAAUACGGAGGUGGCAAGCGUUAUCCGGAUUUACUGGGUGUAAAGGGCGUGUAGGCGGGAGUGCAAGUCAGAUGUUAAAACUAUGGGCUCAACCCAUAGCCUGCAGUUGAAACUGUACUUCUUGAGUGCUGGAGAGGCAAUCGGAAUUCCGGGUGUAGCGGUGAAAUGCUUAGAUAUACGGAAGAACACCAGUGGCGAAGGCGGAUUGCUGGACAGUAACUGACGCUGAGGCGCGAAAGCGUGGGGAGCAAACAGGAUUAGAUACCCUGGUAGUC